GGAAGGAGCACAGGGUAGAGAGCUUCCUUAGCUUCCAAGGACUGCAGCAGGGUGGUCUCUACUGUAGGCAUGACCAGUUUGCAACUGCGAAAAUCACUUUGUCAUUUCAGGUGCUCCCACUGAAAGAAGGACCAGCCCCGAGGCUCUUUAUGGGGAGCCUUCUUGCCGGAGACCUCUUGCAGGCUUCCCGACCCAUUUCUUCCUCCUGCAGGGCCACCGGUGUUCCUCCUGCAUCCCUCGCGCCUGAGCACAUGCUUGGAUGGAAGGGCGCGCUCACAGGCUGCCAUCCAACGGCUCCAGCGUCCAUUGGGGCUCGUGCGGAGAAAGGCACAGGCGCGAGCACAGAAGGUGGGUUCCCACGGGCCAGCUGGGCUCCCAUGGCGGCGUCCAGACUCAGUCCCAUAGGCCUCUAGGUACUGGACCCGCGAACCUCUUCCGUCCCCACCGUGUCCCUGCCCGUUCCUCUGGCCCCUGCGCCUCGCCAGACAGCCCAGGCCCGGCCUUGCCUCCCCAGGGAUGCAGGCCGCCCGCAGCAGGCCUGGCAGUGAGGGCCGAGAUGGCCAGUGCCGCGCCCACGUCGAAGCAUCCUCCAUCCAUGUCCCUUGCAGCCUGUGCGAAACCCGGCUCCAGGGCACCUGUUUGGUGCCUGAGAAGCGCGGUCCUGGUCAGCAGGUCUGAGGCUCCUGUAGGUGUCUGACAAAGUGGUGACUGUCAUCUUCUUGUUCCGCCUGAAACCUGUGAAUGUUGGGGACACUGUCAGCUGGCAUCCGGGUUGUUAGCUGAAGGACGCUCAUUUCCCUGUCCUUAGCAACUUUGCAGAAGGGAACACACUGAGCCAAGUGUGCUGAGUCUGCUGUAGUCACCCCGUGAUUGACGGGCCAUCGUAGGUGGGCUGUUGGUGGGCGCGUCUGGACAGAGCACCUAAAUGACGAUGGGAGAAACCUGUG
rnacentral:lncRNA from 1 species